AACGAACGCUGGCGGCAUGCCUAACACAUGCAAGUCGAACGAAACCUUCGGGUCUAGUGGCGCACGGGUGCGUAACGCGUGGGAACCUGCCCUUAGGUUCGGAAUAACUCCCCGAAAGGGGUGCUAAUACCGGAUAAUGUCUUCGGACCAAAGAUUUAUCGCCUUUGGAUGGGCCCGCGUUGGAUUAGCUAGUUGGUAGGGUAAAAGCCUACCAAGGCGACGAUGCAUAGCUGGGCUGAGAGGAUGAUUAGCCACACUGGGACUGAGACACGGCCCAGACUCCUACGGGAGGCAGCAGUGGGGAAUAUUGGACAAUGGGCGAAAGCCUGAUCCAGCAAUGCCGGGUGAGUGAUGAAGGCCUUAGGGUUGUAAAGCUCUUUUACCCGGGAUGAUAAUGACAGUACCGGGAGAAUAAGCUCCGGCUAACUCCGUG
rnacentral:rRNA from 1 species